CAGGUAUUCAGUUCUAAAAGAAGAUACUAUCAAAUGUUUUCUGGCUGUUUUACUCUAGGACAUGGAUACCCAUGGCCUGGAUGCCUGGUGUGGAUCUCUACCUAUGUUCUGGGGAAAUAGACCCAGUAGAGUUUCUAGAGAGAAAGUCUACUUUGUUAAACAUGAUUUUCUAUCGGAAGAUCUCAGACAAGGGUAUCAGAAGGGCUUCAGAGGCCUCCAUUUGCUAGGUGCAGUCUCUACUGAAUGGUAAAGAGAGGAUGGUGUGCUUUGUGGUAAAGGAGAAAAGAUGGAUACAGGAAGAAAGGGAAGGGGGAUGAGAGAGCGAGAUUGUAGCAAGCCAUUGAAAAUGAAUGAAAGUGCCGACUGAUGUCUGAAAUAAGGAUUCAUGCCAACAAAAAUGAGCAUUGCAGUACUUUAAAAUGCACAGUAUCCUGGGAUAUGAAAAGUCAGCAUCAGGAAACUGAGAGCACAAGAUUGGACUCUGCCCUCAGAAGAGUCACUGGUAACAGUAAAUGAGAACUAUAAUCCUGAAAAAUUUUUAAUACCUAAAGAUAAGUGAGACAAAUAUACAGACACUGCCACUUUCCACAUCAGAACUGGGAAACAAGGUCAAGACCAGAAGAGCUGCAAAGUUGACGGUGCUUUGCUAAAGCUUCUCACCACCUCCUCCCGCCCCCACUCUUGAUCACCAUUGAUGGUACCAAUGGAAGUUUCCAGAGCAUGUCCAUUACAGCACUAUUCCUCUAUAGGCUCUAAGAAAAAAAAAUUCUAAGGUAAAUUAUUUUUGGAAAACUCCAUGUGCUAAAGUUUCCACUUUGAGGAUUAUUAUGUUUGUUUAACAUAUUAAAGGUCCUGAGGGGACUGUGAAGUCUACAGUGAAAAACAAUACCUUUAUUUACCCCAGUAUUUCUCAAAUUUAUUAGACCACAUGACUUUCUCUGGGUGCCACCUCUAGGAAUAUUUCACAGAGGUAGUGUUUCGUUGAACACACUUUGGCAAACACUGUCUACCACUGGGGUUGUAUGUACCCAGCAUAUGGGGAUCAAAAUUCUGCAGCUUGGAGAGAAGAAGAUGACCAGGAAGCACUACAGAGGAGAAUACCCAGCACUGUAAGAAGCAACAAAAUAAUAAUUUAAACAAAACAUAUAAACUUUAGAGAAGUGCAAAUUGAAGUUUAAAGGGCAAAUAAUCUUCUUAAUGUUACCAACUAGUAAGUAAUUGAACCAGGAUUUGAAUGCAGGCAUCUGAUGACAGAGCCCAUGCUACUGAGCAGCCUAAAAGAGUCAUUCAUUCAUUCCACAU
rnacentral:lncRNA from 1 species